GGAGGAUCCAAGUCGUUAUCCGGAAUCAGUUGGGUUAAAGGGUCCGUAGGCGGUUUUAUAAGUCAGUGGUGAAAUCUGGUCGCUCAACGAUCAAACGGCCAUUGAUACUGUAAGACUUGAAUUACUUGGAAGUAACUAGAAUAUGUAGUGUAGCGGUGAAAUGCUUAGAGAUUACAUGGAAUACCAAUUGCGAAGGCAGGUUACUACAAGUAUAUUGACGCUGAUGGACGAAAGCGUGGGGAGCGAACAGGAUUAGAUACCCUGGUAGUCCACGCCGUAAACGAUGGAUACUAGCUGUUUGGAGCAAUCUGAGUGGCUAAGCGAAAGUGAUAAGUAUCCCACCUGGGGAGUACGCUCGCAAGAGUG
rnacentral:rRNA from 1 species